AGAUUGUUCUCCACCUUUAAGGCUAAAUGUUUGCCCUGCUGGGUUUUGGACUUGCUUGGAGCUUUUUACUCUUAUUUUGAUUCUCUCUCCCUUUUGGAAUGGGAAUGUCUGUCCUAUACCUGUAACACCAUUUUAUCUUGAAAGUGGAUAACUUGCCUCAAUUUCGGAGGUUUACAAGUAAGACUCUGGAAUUUGGACUUUUGAGCUGAUGCUGAUGCUGAAAUGAGUUAAGUCUUUGGGGCUAUGAGGAUGGAAAAAAACGUAUAUGUAUUUAAAGUUGUGAGAAAGACAGAAGUUUUGGAGCUCCAAGGGCAGAACACUAUGGCGUGAAAGUUUGUUCCCUCUGAAAUUCAUGUUGCAUGAACUUUGUCCCCAGUGUGGCAGUAUCGAGAGGUAAGGCCUUCAAGAGGUAAUUGGAUCACGGCCCUCAUGAGGGAAUUUAUCAAUUAAUGGAUUAAUGGAUUAAUGAAUUGUCAUGGGAGAGAUAUUAGUGGUUUCAAAAGCAGAGAAAGAGAGACCUGAGCUAGCACACUCCUCCCCUUCACCAUGCGAUGCCCUUCACUACCUUGCGACUCUACAGCGAGUCGCCACCAGCAAUGAGACGCUCAUCAGAUAUGGAUCCUCAACCUUGAAAUGCUCAUCUCCAUACUGCUUUGAAAUAAUCAUUAAAACUAUACAUUUAACAAGAUCGGAGUCAUAUGGUGCGCAUCUGCCAGUGCAGAAAGGGUUUCACUCUGUCACCGAAGCUGGAAUACAGUGGCGAGAUUACAGCUCGCUGCAGUCUUCACCUCCCAGGUUCAAGUGAUCUUCACACCUUAGCCUCCCAGGUAGCUGGGAUCACAGAACAGCACCAGACACAUGGAAAGGACUCCACAAAUACUUGUUAAAUGAAUGAAUUCUGAUUCACCUGGCUCGAAAUUUCUUAAGGAAUAAUCAUAUCAUGUUUUUGCUCAGGGAGUGUGGCCACAAUAUCUGGAAAUACUGCUAAAGAAGUAAGAACACAAGUGAAGAUUGAAUUUGAAGAUUAGGGGAUACCUUUUUGUAAACAGUAGAUGAAAAAGGAAUGUAUAGUCAGGGAAUGGAGACACCAUUGAAAUAGAAGAGAUUUCAACAUGCUUCAAUAUAAAAAGAAGAGUUUUCUAGAAAGGUGUGGCUCUAGAUCAGAAAUAUGAGGUCAAGGGAAAUUUAUUUCUCAUCUCACAUGGAGAAUACUAAGAAGUGUUAUAGGAAAGAGAAAAUAAACAUAUGAUGCAACAGAGAGAGAUAGUAAGUCCUUGAGAAGACACAAAGAAAGGAGGAAGGGAACAGGACUGACAUUUUAUGCUGUGUGGUUUAAAUGUUCGGAUAUUCAUAUUCAUAUUUUUUACUUCCAUGUUAUUUGUCCUCUAGAAAACUGAAUUUGAAGACUUCUGGUAAUGUCUGGAUAUGAAGUUUAUUUAGACACUGGUUAAGCAGGUUACAUAUGGGUCAGAAUAUUGGAGAAUACAUAUUUUGAUUCUAAAGAAAGUAUUUAGAUUUUAGGUAUUUAGACCGUAAGUAUUUAGACUUCCAAGGUUUGACAUGGGGUAACAAGAAAUUUUCUCAUUACCUAUGUAAAAUACCAAAUGUUGAGACAAAUAUCCCAAACAGAAUACAAACAACUUUCAGAAAAAAAAUUAAAAUUUGCAGCUGGGAGCCUUCUCCUCUAGCUUAUUUUUCUACGUCUCCCUCUACACCAGCCCCAUUCUACAACUUUGCCAUGCGGUAAUGAAUAUUACUAGUCAGUGUUGGGAGUGAGUAAACUGGGAAAGUAUUUCAACUACAUUUGACCACAUAAGCUACUUGUGCAAACUUUUCUCUGUGAGAUAAAGGUGAGUGGGGCAUUAACUUAUUUCAUUACAUUGGGAUGUGUCCUCUGACCAAUACAAUCCUCUCAGACAAUUUAAUAAUACAGGUUACCCUAGUUCAAGAUAUAUAGUGUUGGAGGCAGGAAUCUUAGUUGUCUUAGAACAUAAUUUCACAUUACUGAAAGAAUAGAUUCCAAAUAAACCAACAUCAUGUCAAAGGUCUCCUGCAGUAAAGACCUGCAUGUUCUGCCACUGUGUCUUUUGUUCUAACACAUUGCAGUGCCUUAAUGUUUCCAGGCAUAAAUAUCUGGAAAUAUUAAGAUCCUCAACUUUUAAAUAUGCAGCUUUCUAAGAGUAAAACAUAUCUAUUUUAAAAUAUAUUUGCCAUGAAAAGGAGAUCUGCCAUUUUUCACUUCUCUUUCUACAAAUUUCUCUCUCUAAUUGUACAAACAAUGGCUUGUCUCUUACCCAUUUUUAUUUUUUUAACCAAUAGGGUGAUAGUUAUGUGCUGAUUUGCUAAUGAGAGUAUGGCCUAUGCUUGUUUUUCUUGUUUACUUAUUAAUAUUGCCUAUGUGUAUUCUUUAUUUGGAUGAUAAACUAUAUAGUCACUCUAACUACGAUGCUUUCCCCUGAAGGCAAAUAACCCUGAGACACCCUUAGAGAGAAAUAAAAGUGCUAAAGUUGGUAUUGCAAAAGUGAAUGGCAUUAAUGGCUGGGUAAUAAAUCCUUUUGUUCAGGUUUCCCAUUAUUUACUUUCAACACAAUGAAGGGAAAACCUAAUAGAGUUGUCAGAUGACAGAUUAUUAAAAAUAAUUUUGAAGAUAGAUAGCUAUGUAAUUUGGGGCAUAUAACUAUUAAGAAGUUCAAAGAGCCAAGAAACCUUGCUAUAAUAAAACAGCUUCCAUUACCAUCUGUUUUUGUGAUCACAUUUUCUUGGCACCUACCU